rnacentral:rRNA from 1 species
UACGGAGGGGGCAAGCGUUGUUCGGAAUUACUGGGCUUAAAGGGCUCGUAGGCGGCCAACUAAGUCAGACGUGAAAUCCCUCGGCUUAACCGGGGAACUGCGUCUGAUACUGGAUGGCUUGAGUUCGGGAGAGGGAUGCGGAAUUCCAGGUGUAGCGGUGAAAUGCGUAGAUAUCUGGAGGAACACCCGUAGCGAAGGCAGCUCGCUGGGACGGUACUGACGCUGAGACGCGAAAGCGUGGGGAGCAAACAGG